ensembl:lncRNA
GUUUUCCCAAAGCUUAUCCGUUUAGUAGCAACGAAAGUAACUGAGUAGAUUUCGGUUUUAUGAUCUUGUUUUGAAAUUAAUGGGUUAGACGGUAGAACAAAAAUGGACACGCUGAGCUAGCGGCUAACAGCUAGAGGAGACUGUUGUGUCUAAUAAUUUGAAACUUCCUUUGAUAGUUUGGGCGGAAUCCUGUUGCUGGAAACCCGUGGUUAUUCAUGUCCCAUGUUAUUGCAGAGACCCUCAAAAGGGGGAAUAAACCACACCUGAGCUCUACCCAUCUCGAGUCCAGAGAGUUUUACUCAUACAGCACCAGAAAUAGACACUGAGAGGGGUUACACCAGCAAUUUAAGAAGAACAUGCAGCUAAACAUGUCACUCCUUCUCUGAUUGGGGAGGGGACCAUAGAAAACAACAGGCAUCACGGCAGCAUCUUAGUACCAUCUAAAUGGAGUGACUGAGCAGAUGGGCUGAGUGGUCCUCUCCAUUACAGAUGUGAUCCAGACCAGUUGGAGACAGAAUAUCAUACAAUUUAAAAAAAAGAAAAACAACACCAACAAAACAAACAAAAACAAAAUUCUAAACUUUUAAUAUUGAUUUAAUAAAAUGAAUAAACCUGUCAUUUUAAUGCAAAGCUGCCUCUUGUUAUUUACAUUUUAGAAUCCUAAUGUUUAUUGGUAAGGUUAAAAAGGUUACAAAUAUCUGAAAAAACAUCAUCACAACAUUCAUCUUGGCCAUACAUAAAGAAUAACAAUAGUUUAAAGUUUUAUUAGUAAUUUGCUGUGUAUCAGCAGAAAUACCACUGAAGUCUUACUUCCCCUUAGCAGUGACCUCGCUGCUGUUUCAGUAUUGCGUUAGGGUGCAAAUAUGAUCAAGAAUCAAUGUCAGACUUCAACAUAUAUAUUCAGUUAAAUUCAGUGAUGGGAAUAACAGUGUUACCUUUUUCAGUAACAAGUAAUCUAACUAAUUACUAUUUCUAUCGUUACAACGCCAUUACCGUUACUAACAAGAAACUCGACCACUUCAAGAUGACACAGCAACAAGGUGCUAUAUACCAUUUUUUAAAUUGUGUUGAUAGGCCACGUAAAACCAGAGUCAUGAUAAACAAUAUAAUACGUGGUGUUUUUUCCUGAAUACUUUUGUCAUGUUUACUGUCCAAGGGCAGCACUAGCAAGCACUCUCUGCUUAUGGCCAAAAAUAAAAACAUAAAACAAAACAAAAGACACCCCUUUCAUGUUGGUGGAAAAAUGUACCAUGUCCACCAAUCAAAAAAUGAUAUGGCAACAUGACAUUUGGUCGAGAGAGAAAGAGCGAAAAGAAAGAGAGAGAGCGACUUUUGAGAUGUCUUGUGUAGUUAGUGUGUAGUGUAGUGGAUAGUUUUGUGUGUCAGAACAAUGAGGCGACUGCUGAAUGUUACAGGUGCUGCUAGAAAGCCACCAAAGGCAGAUUACAGUGUAAACGGUGUCUCCAGGUAGAAAACAGGAGGAGUGAUACACCUGUUGCUGCCAGACCUGCAGGCUGUGAUGUUCUCCUUUAUAGUCGACAGAAAUUCUUUUUUGGAGUGGCACAAAUAAUUUGUGUGGCAUCUUAUUUAAUGCAGAAUACCUGAUUGUUAUGUAAAUAGUUUGAAAUGGCUGCAAAUAACUUUGUUUGCAAAACUUGUGCAUAGG